AAUGAACGCUGGCGGCGUGCUUAACACAUGCAAGUCGUACGAGAAACCCCGGCUUGCCGGGGGAGUAAAGUGGCGCACGGGUGAGUAACGCGUGGGUAAUCUACCCUCGAAUUGGGGAUAACACACCGAAAGGUGUGCUAAUACCGAAUAAGACCACGACCUCCACGGGGGUUGCGGUCAAAGAUGGCCUCUGCUUGCAAGCUGGCGUUUGAGGAUGAGCCCGCGUACCAUUAGCUUGUUGGUGGGGUAAUGGUCUACCAAGGCAACGAUGGUUAGCUGGUCUGAGAGGAUGGCCAGCCACACUGGAACUGGAACACGGUCCAGACUCCUACGGGAGGCAGCAGUGAGGAAUUUUGCGCAAUGGGGGAAACCCUGACGCAGCAACGCCGCGUGAGUGAAGAAGGCCUUCGGGUUGUAAAGCUCUGUCAAGUGGGAAGAACCUUUUUCGGCCGAAUACGCCGAGAAACUGACGGUACCGCUGAAGGAAGCACCGGCUAACUCCGUGCCAGCCGCCGCCGUAA
rnacentral:rRNA from 1 species